GCACAGUCUCACAGGCUCUUGCUCCCUGUGCCCAGUAGCAGUUUGAGUACAGGACACUCCCUAGGGCCAUCUGGGGCUUCCUGGGACGCUACAGCCAGCAGAAGACGCUACCAGUGUCCCUGAUGUUUGGUCAUUUUUAAUGCCAAUAACUAAGCUACAAUGGUUCUCCCACACCUGGAAGCUAAUGAGUAAUGAGCACUAUUAAGGCUUAUUUCAAAUGUAAAAAAACCUUGAGAUAAUGUACUAAAUUGUUCAGAAGGUUGUUUUCUUAGUGCCUGUUGGAAUACUACAGGAUUUUCUUUAGCCAUCCGGAGUUCCUGCCUUCAUUCCAUUGCCAAUGAGGACAAGGAUGAAAGAAUUUCCAGUGUUGCUGAGAACCAGACAAGACUUUGGAUCAAGCUAGCUGCCUGCAGAACUUACCUGGACUGUGAUUUAAGCUAGCUGCCUGCAGAACUUACCUGGACUGUGAUUUACCUGGACUGUGAGUUAAUCUAUUGAGACACUGCUUUACCUGGACUGAGACAACAAACUGUAAUCUACAACAAAUUGUAACUGGUAUCUUUGCUAACGGUGUCAUUGCUGGUAUAAUUUUUCCAAGGGCUUCUUGCAUGGAGCCAUCAAUUGGCUUGGUAUUGUGGCAUUUUGUAUUCUCCCCUUCUGCUUGUAGCAGAUUAUUCAUGGUAUUUGUGUAAAAACCACUAUGGUCUUUAUUUAAAUUAAACAAAAGGGGGAAAUGUCAGGGUCUGUAAACAAGUCAAGAUGGCGCCUGGCAUUUUGCCAGACGGUGUGGUUUGUGAAGUAAUGCCAGCGAGCCAUUAAGUGUAGAGAUUUCUUAUUGGUUGGCUGCUGUAUCUAGUUAAUUAAGAUAAGGUGUGUGGAAUGUAUAUAUACCCCUCCUGUCCUACAAUAAACGGCUCCC
rnacentral:lncRNA from 1 species